rnacentral:misc_RNA from 1 species
GAUGAAGAACGUAGCGAAAUGCGAUAAGUAAUGUGAAUUGCAGAAUUCAGUGAAUCAUCGAAUCUUUGAACGCACAUUGCGCCCCCUGGUAUUCCGGUGGGCAUGCCUGUUCGAGCGUCAUUUCACCACUCAAGCCUCGCUUGGUAUUGGGCAACGCGGUCCGCCGCGUGCCUCAAAUCGACCGGCUGGGUCUUCUGUCCCCUAAGCGUUGUGGAAACUAUUCGCUAAAGGGUGUUCGGGAGGCUACGCCGUAAAACAACCCCAUUUCUAAGGUUGACCUCGGAUCAGGUAGGGAUACCCGCUGAACUUAAGCAUAUCAAUAAGCGGAGGA